rnacentral:rRNA from 1 species
UACGUAGGGUGCGAGCGUUAAUCGGAAUUACUGGGCGUAAAGCGUGCGCAGGCGGUCUGUUAAGACCGAUGUGAAAUCCCCGGGCUUAACCUGGGAACUGCAUUGGUGACUGGCAGGCUUUGAGUGUGGCAGAGGGAGGUAGAAUUCCACGUGUAGCAGUGAAAUGCGUAGAGAUGUGGAGGAAUACCGAUGGCGAAGGCAGCCUCCUGGGCCGAUACUGACGCUGAGGAGCGAAAGCGUGGGGAGCAAACAGG